rnacentral:rRNA from 1 species
GACGAACGCUGGCGGCGUGCCUAACACAUGCAAGUCGAGCGGAGAUAGACUGGUGGUAACUGAAGUUUGUCUUAGCGGCGGACGGGUGAGUAACACGUGGGCAACCUGCCUUGGAGUGGGGGAUAACACCGGGAAAUCGGUGCUAAUACCGCAUAACAUACACAAACUGCAUGGUAAGUGUAUCAAAGGAGCAAUCCGCUUUAAGAUGGGCCCGCGGCUGAUUAGCUAGUUGGUAAGGUAACGGCUUACCAAGGCGACGAUCAGUAGCCGACCUGAGAGGGUGACCGGCCACACUGGAACUGAGACACGGUCCAGACUCCUACGGGAGGCAGCAGUGGGGAAUAUUGCGCAAUGGGGGAAACCCUGACGCAGCAACGCCGCGUGGAGGAAGAAGGUCUUCGGAUUGUAAACUCCUGUCUUCUGGGACGAAGUAUGACGGUACCAGAGGAGGAAGCCACGGCUAACUACGUG